rnacentral:rRNA from 1 species
AUUGAACGCUGGCGGCAUGCCUUACACAUGCAAGUCGAACGGUAGAGUAGCAAUACUUGAGAGUGGCGAACGGGUGAGUAAUAUAUCGGAACGUGCCCAGUCGUGGGGGAUAACGUAGAGAAAUUUACGCUAAUACCGCAUACGAUCUAAGGAUGAAAGCGGGGGAUUCGCAAGAACCUCGCGCGAUUGGAGCGGCUGAUAUCAGAUUAGGUUGUUGGUGAGGUAAAAGCUCACCAAGCCGACGAUCUGUAGCUGGUUUGAGAGAACGACCAGCCACACUGGGACUGAGACACGGCCCAGACUCCUACGGGAGGCAGCAGUGGGGAAUUUUGGACAAUGGGCGAAAGCCUGAUCCAGCAAUGCCGCGUGAGUGAUGAAGGCCU